AUAUCUCUCUGUACGGGAAGGAUGAGAAGCUUCGACCAAGGUUCGAUUCGAGCGCAGCGAGAAAGCG
rnacentral:sRNA from 2 species